AGGAGCAACAGCCCCAGUGGCGGGGCCAGCUCUGGAGCCCUGGAUUCAGCCCCCGCAGGAACUCCGGAGCUCUCCGUCUGCAGGGCCUGGAGGCUCCGGGGUGGG
rnacentral:pre_miRNA from 1 species